rnacentral:tRNA from 1 species
GCGGGUAUGGUUCAGUGGUAGAACGCAGCCUUCCCAAGGCUGAAAUACGAGUUCGAUUCUCGUUACCCGCU